rnacentral:pre_miRNA from 1 species
GGGGUUAGCACUGGAUCUUGGGCUGUGUCCCUGGAACCCUGUGCUCCCAGGUCUGAGCUGUUGGAAUCAUGCUCUGGGCCUCACAGGUCCCU